GACGAACGCUGGCGGCGUGCUUAACACAUGCAAGUCGAACGAUGAAGCCGGAGCUUGCUCUGGUGAAUUAGUGGCGAACGGGUGAGUAACACGUGAGUAACCUGCCCUUGACUCUGGGAUAACUGCUAGAAAUGGUAGCUAAUACCGGAUACGACCCUCGGAGGCAUCUUCAGGGGGUGGAAAGAAUUUCGGUCAAGGAUGGACUCGCGGCCUAUCAGCUAGUUGGUGAGGUAAUGGCUCACUAAGGCGACGACGGGUAGCCGGCCUGAGAGGGUGACCGGCCACACUGGGACUGAGACACGGCCCAGACUCCUACGGGAGGCAGCAGUGGGGAAUAUUGCACAAUGGGCGCAAGCCUGAUGCAGCAGCGCCGCGUGAGGGAUGACGGCCUUCGGGUUGUAAACCUCUUUUAGUAGGGAAGAAGCGAAAGUGACGGUACCUGCAGAAAAAGCACCGGCUAACUACGUGCCAGCCGCCGCCGUAA
rnacentral:rRNA from 1 species